rnacentral:rRNA from 1 species
GACGUAGGGGGCCAGCGUUGCUCGGAAUUACUGGGUGUAAAGGGUUCGUAGGCGGUGCGGCAAGUUGGGAGUGAAAUCUCUGGGCUUAACCCAGAGGCUGCUUCCAAAACUGCUGUGCUCGAGUGUGGGAGAGGCGCGUGGAAUUGCAGGUGUAGCGGUGAAAUGCGUAGAUAUCUGCAGGAACACCCGUGGCGAAGGCGGCCAACUGGACGAAUACUGACGCUGAGACACGAAAGCGUGGGGAGCAAACAGG